rnacentral:lncRNA from 1 species
AGCCUUCCGAGCUCUCUGAGGGACCACAGUGAAAGGCAGGGCUAUGGCCCUGGGGCCCGCGGGCUGGGAAGGCAGAGGACCCGGCAGGCACUGCUAAGGGUCUACUGUGGGCAGACACUGCUAGGAAUCAGAACAUGGAAGAUGCCCUGUUCCGCUCAAGGAAGGCAGAGCUGCUGGGAGUUCCAGACAGAGGCAGGCAGAUAGACCUCUGAGGUCGAGGUCAGCUUGGUCUACACAGCCACUGCUAGGUUAACACAGUGAGAUGCUGUCACAGACAAAUUCCUUGGUGUGUCCAAGAUGUCAAGGGAGAGAGGCAGCAGAGACACCCUGAGUCAGCUCUUCCCCCAGCACUGCUCACUUCACACUCACAUCUAUAACACACAGCUACCUAAGGCUCGGGACAUUGCAAAGAGGACGCAGAAAGACUGUAAGGGCCAGGGGACGGGAGUUCAGUGAGGUUGUGUCUCCUAGUAACAUCAGAAGCUACGCCUGUCAAGUCUCACCAGCAUCACUGCCUAAACACGACCUAACGAAGGAGGCCACCAACGGUUAUGCCAACCGAAUGAGGCCUGAACCCUACCCAAAAACUAUAGGCAACUGAGUGAAGCUGCAGCAGAGGUGGCCCUCCCCAGGGAAAAGCACACCUAUUAGUCAUCUAGUGUGGAAAGGUCAGCUCUGAAAGUGUGACACAGUAACCCUGUAUGGACUCAACAGGUUGUACCUAGAAAAAAAAAAAAUAUAUAUAUAUAUAUAUAUAUACACACACACAGACACAUCUAUGCGUGCAAUAUCAACUGAUGAAAAAAGAGGCUAUGAAUUUGAAAGAGUGUGGGGGGAGGGGUAACUGGGAAGGUUUGGAAAGGCAAAGGAGAAACAUUGUAACUAGAAUACAAGCUCAAAACCAACCCCAACAAAAAGAGGAAAAGCAUGCUUGCUUACAACCCCACAAGCCGCCAAUGCCAUCGCUCCCAGCCUCUGACGCCCUGCACAUGGCACAGUGCUCCUAGACGCCCGUCUGGCCCAAGGCUAGCUCCUAUCAGAUUUAUACUCAGCUAGCACCUCUUUGUGACUUCCACUGUCACCGUCUCCUAACCACACUCCUCUUUUGCUCUACUCAAUGCUACUAGGGUGAGUGUAGUUCAUCGGUUUGUAUUGCCUAUCUUCUUCAAGAAAAAUGUUCCUGAGGGCAGGAAUUCUCACGUUACUUCACUGCUAUAAUCCUUGGGUCUGGAAAAGCACUCAAUGCAUAACAGGCAUUCAAUAAAUCUUUGUGGACUGAAUGAAGGAAUACCCAAUAAAGUGCUGU